UACGUAGGGUGCAAGCGUUGUCCGGAAUUAUUGGGCGUAAAGAGCUCGUAGGCGGUUCGUCACGUCGGCUGUGAAAUCCCGAGGCUCAACCUCGGGUCUGCAGUCGAUACGGGCGGACUGGAGUACUGCAGGGGAGACUGGAAUUCCUGGUGUAGCGGUGAAAUGCGCAGAUAUCAGGAGGAACACCGGUGGCGAAGGCGGGUCUCUGGGCAGUAACUGACGCUGAGGAGCGGAAGCGUGGGGAGCGAACAGG
rnacentral:rRNA from 1 species